GUGUAAGGGCGUGUAGGCGGAAUUGUAGGUCAGAUGUGAAAACUCGCAGCUCAACUGCGAGACUGCAUUUGAAACCACAGUUCUUGAGUUACGGAGAGGAAAGUGGAAUUCCUAGUGUAGCGGUGGAAUGCAUAGAUAUUAGGAGGAACAUCAGUGGCGAAGGCGGCUUUCUGGACGAUAACUGACGCUGAGACGCGAAAGCGUGGGGAGCAAACAGGAUUAGAUACCCUGGUAGUCCACGCUGUAAACGAUGGAUACUAGGUGUAGGGGGUAUCAAUUCCCUCUGUGCCGUCGCUAACGCAAUAAGUAUCCCACCUGAGGAGUACGGUCGCAAGGCUGAAACUUAAAGGAAUUGACGGGGGCCCGCACAAGCAGUGGAGUAUGUGGUUUAAUUCGAAGCUACGCGAAAAAUCUUACCAGGACUUGACAUCCAUAGAAUCCCUUGGAAACAGGGGAGUGCCUUCGGGAGCUAUGAGACAGGUGGUGCAUGGUUGUCGUCAGCUCGUGUCGUGAGAUGUUGGGUUAAGUCCCGUAACGAGCGCAACCCUUACGGUCAGUUGCCAUCAUUAAGUUGGGCACUCUGGCAGGACUGCCGGCGAUAAGUCGGAGGAAGGUGGGGAUGAUGUCAAAUCAUCAUGCCCCUUAUGUUCUGGGCUACACACGUACUACAAUGGCUGUUAACAAUGAGUUGCUAUCACGCGAGUGUGAGCUAAACUCCAAAAACAGCCUCAGUUCAGAUUGCAGGCUGAAACUCGCCUGCAUGAAGUCGGAAUUGCUAGUAAUCGCGAAUCAC
rnacentral:rRNA from 1 species